rnacentral:misc_RNA from 1 species
CCGGCCAUGAGAUCGACCAGUGCCAGUUCUCCGCCCUUGUACGGGACGUACGUCAUGCGGAUGCGCGCCAUGCUCUUGAAAAGCUCACCGGUCAUAUGUCCCGCACUGCCGAAACCGCCCGAGGCGAAAUUGAGUUCUCCGGGCUUCGUCCUGGCAAGGGCGAUAAGAUCCGCGACCGUUCUGACAGGAAGCGAAGGGUGGGAAGAGAUGGAAUAGGGUGCGGCCCCCAUGAGCGUGAUUGGCGCGAAAUCCUUCACCGGAUCGUAUGGCAGGUUACUGUGCAGCGCCGAGCUCAUCGUAUAGCUGGCGGAAAUGGCGAGCAGGUUGUAGCCGUCGGCCGGCGCCUUCGCGAGUGCCGCAUAAGCGGUAGUCCCGCCCGCGCCAGGCCGGUUCUCGACCACGAACGUUUUGCCCAGCGUUUCUCCCAGCUUCUGGGACACCACGCGCGCCAGGAUGUCCACUCCGCCGCCGGGCGCAAAUCCGACGGUCACCCUCACGGGUUUGCUCGGAUAGCCGGCGCCAGAGCCAGCCGUCCCCUGGCCGCAUGCGAUCUCCGUCCAUGCAAGAAGCAGUACCACGAGCCAUGCGCGUCGCCCGGCACGCGGGUAUCGGCGGUGUUCCUCGCAAUUCAUCACGUUCCUGCCCCACCUGAUGGCAAAAUGGCAGUUUAGCCGCUCAUUCGUUUCUGGCGCCGAUCGAUGUCACAAGCUGGCCGCCAGCAGGAGGUUGGCAUGCCGCAACUCGUUUUCCUCCACGGUCCGGGCGCCGGCGCCUGCGCCGACGCCUGGCACUACCAGCGCC